rnacentral:rRNA from 1 species
CCUACGGGGGGCAGCAGUGAGGAAUAUUGGUCAAUGGGCGCGAGCCUGAACCAGCCAAGUAGCGUGAAGGAUGACUGCCCUACGGGUUGUAAACUUCUUGUAUAAAGGAAUAAAGUGAGGCACGUGUGCGUUUUUGUAUGUACUUUAUGAAUAAGGAUCGGCUAACUCCGUGCCAGCAGCCUCGGUAAUACGGAGGUUCCGAGCGUUAUCCGGAUUUGUGGGGUUUAAAGGGGGCGUAGAUGGGUUGUUAAGUCAGUGGGGCAAGGUUGCGGCUCAACCGUAAAAUUGCACUUGAUACUGGCAGCCUUGAGUACAUUUGCGGUAGGCGGCAUUCGUUGUGUAGCGG